CAGUAGCCGCGGUAAUACAGAGGGUGCGAGAGUUAAUCGGAUUUACUGGGCGUAAAGCGUGCGUAGGCGGCUUCUUAAGUCGGAUGUGAAAUCCCUGAGCUUAACUUAGGAAUUGCAUUCGAUACUGGGAAGCUAGAGUAUGGGAGAGGAUGGUAGAAUUCCAGGUGUAGCGGUGAAAUGCGUAGAGAUCUGGAGGAAUACCGAUGGCGAAGGCAGCCAUCUGGCCUAAUACUGACGCUGAGGUACGAAAGCAUGGGGAGCAAACAGGAUUAGAUACCCCCGUAGUCCCUGUCUCUUAUAC
rnacentral:rRNA from 1 species